CCUACGGGAGGCAGCAGUCUAGAGGCUUCGGCAAUGGGGGAAACCCUGACCGAGCGACGCCGCGUGUGGGAUUGAAGGUGUUUACAUCGUAAACCACUGUUCCAGGGGAAGAAUGCCCGUAUGGUGAAUACGGGAGAGACGGUACCCUGGCAGCAAGCCCCGGCUAACUACGUGCCAGCAGCCGCGGUAAU
rnacentral:rRNA from 1 species